rnacentral:misc_RNA from 1 species
AAGUCGUAACAAGGUUUCCGUAGGUGAACCUGCGGAAGGAUCAUUAUUGAAUAAAUCUGACGUGGUUGUCGCUGGCUCCCCCGGGAGCAUGUGCACGCCCGUCACCUUUAUUUCUCCACCUGUGCACACACUGUAGGCCUGGAUACCUCUCGUCGCAAGGCGGAUGCGUGGCUUGCUGUCGCUUUCGAAAGAAGGCCAGCUUGCCAUGAAUUUCCAGGUCUAUGAUUUCUUACACACCCCAAACUGAAUGUUAUGGAAUGUCAUCUCAAGGCCUUGUGCCUAUAAACCUAUACAACUUUCAGCAACGGAUCUCUUGGCUCUC